GGGUAAUGGGGCCCCACAGGCUUACUGAUCCUAACCAAACUCCGAAUACCUGAGAGUACUAUGCGGCAGACACACUACGGGUGCUAAGGUCCGUGGUGGAAAGGGAAACAGCCCUGACCGACAGCUAAGGUCCCUAAAUUAUGGCUAAGUUGGAAAGGAUGUAGGAAUCCCAAAACAACCAGGAGGUUGGCUUAGAAGCAGCCAUCCUUUAAAGAAAGCGUAACAGCUCACUGGUCUAAUCAAGAGAUCCUGCGGCGAAGAUGUAACGGGGCUCAAGACGUGCACCGAAGCUUAGGGUGUGGAUUUAUCCACGCGGUAGCGGAGCGUUCCGUAAGCCUGUGAAGCGAUCUGGUAAUGGGUCGUGGAGGUAUCGGAAGUGCGAAUGCUGACAUGAGUAGCGAUAAUGAGGGUGAGAUGCCCUCACGCCGAAAGACCAAGGGUUCCUGCGCAAGGCUAAUCCGCGCAGGGUGAGUCGGCCCCUAAGGCGAGGGCGAAAGCCGUAGUCGAUGGGAAUCAGGUUAAUAUUCCUGAACCUGGUGGAUGUGACGAACGCCGGAAGUAGUCUCUCCUUACUGGAUUGGAGGGGCUGCCUGGGCGUUCCAGGAAAUAGCACCACCGUUAAGACCGUACCCGAAACCGACACAGGUGGACUGGUAGAGCAUACCAAGGCGCUUGAGAGAACUGCAUUGAAGGAACUCUGCAAAUUACUCCCGUAAGUUCGCGAGAAGGGAGCCCCGUUUGGAGGCAACUCUGGGCGGGGGGCACAAACCAGGUGGUAUCGACUGUUUACUAAAAACACAGGGCUCUGCGAAGUCGCAAGACGACGUAUAGGGUCUGACGCCUGCCCGGUGCCGGAAGGUUAAGAGGAGAGGUGAGAGCUUUGAAUCGAAGCCCCGGUAAACGGCGGCCGUAACAAUAACGGUCCUAAGGUAGCGAAAUUCCUUGUCGGGUAAGUUCCGACCCGCACGAAUGGCGUAACGAUUUGGACACUGUCUCGGAGAGGGGCUCGGCGAAAAAGAAUUGUCUGUGAAGAUGCGGACUACCUGCACCUGGACAGAAAGACCCUAUGAAGCUUUACUGUAUCCUGAGAUUGAAUUCGGGUAUUACUUGCGCAGUAUAGGUGGGAGACGUUGAUUUAAUUCUUGCGGGAAUUAAGGAGUCAUCAGUGAGAUACCACUCUUUUAAUGCCAGAAUUCUUUACCUUAUGUCGUUAUCCGGCUAGGGGACAGUUUCAGGUGGGCAGUUUGACUGGGGCGGUCGCCUCCUAAAAGGUAACGGAGGCGUACAAAGGUUUCCUCAGAUCGGUUAGAAAUCGAUCAAAGAGUGUAAAGGCAUAAGGAAGCUUGACUGUGAGACCUACAAGUCGAACAGAGACGAAAGUCGGUCUUAGUGAUCUGACGGUACUGAGUGGAAAGGCCGUCACUCAACGGAUAAAAGUUACUCUAGGGAUAACAGGCUGAUCUCCCCCAAGAGUUCACAUCGACGGGGAGGUUUGGCACCUCGAUGUCGGCUCAUCGCAUCCUGGGGCGGUAGUACGUCCCAAGGGUUGGGCUGUUCGCCCAUGAAAGCGGUACGUGAGCUGGGUUCAGAACGUCGUGAGACAGUUCGGUCCAUAUCCGGUGUAGGCGUAGAGUAUUGAAAGGAUUCUUCUUUAGUACGAGAGGACCGAGAAGAACAUACCGCUAGUGUACCAGUUAUCGUGCCAACGGUAGACGCUGGGUAGCUAUGUAUGGAAAGGAUAACCGCUGAAAGCAUCUAAGUGGGAAGCCUACCUUAAGAUGAGUGCUCAUUAAGGUUACAGCAAGACUAGCUGUUUGAUAGGCAUCAGGUGUAAGUGUAGUAAUAUAUUAGCCGAGAUGUACUAACCAACCGUAUU
rnacentral:rRNA from 15 species